UACGUAGGGUGCGAGCGUUGUCCGGAAUUAUUGGGCGUAAAGAGCUCGUAGGCGGUGUGUCACGUCGGCCGUGAAAACCUGGGGCUUAACUCUGGGCGUGCGGUCGAUACGGGCAUCACUAGAGUUCGGCAGGGGAGACUGGAAUUCCUGGUGUAGCGGUGAAAUGCGCAGAUAUCAGGAGGAACACCGGUGGCGAAGGCGGGUCUCUGGGCCGAUGACUGACGCUGGAGGAGCGAAAGCAUGGGGAGCGAACAGG
rnacentral:rRNA from 1 species